rnacentral:misc_RNA from 1 species
CCUGGCUGGGAUCAAUGCAAG